rnacentral:rRNA from 1 species
UACGUAGGGUGCAAGCGUUGUCCGGAAUUAUUGGGCGUAAAGAGCUCGUAGGCGGUCUGUUGCGUCGGCUGUGAAAACCCGGGGCUCAACUCCGGGCCUGCAGCCGAUACGGGCAGACUAGAGUUCGGCAGGGGAGACUGGAAUUCCUGGUGUAGCGGUGAAAUGCGCAGAUAUCAGGAGGAACACCGGUGGCGAAGGCGGGUCUCUGGGCCGAUACUGACGCUGAUGAGCGAAAGCGUGGGGAGCGAACAGG